UUUAAUUUCUAAGGAUUAUGGUUAAAAUUAAAAUAUUUGGCGGCUAUUUAUAUUAAAGGGAUUUGCUUAUUUAUCGAUUUGCCUCGUUUAUUAUUAUUUAGUUUAUUUUUGUAUACCGUCAUUUAGAUAAUUUUUAUAAAAUUAAUUAUGGUUAUUAUUUUCUAUAUUUUAGAUCAAGGUGCAGAUAUAAUUGAUUCAAAGUUAAUGACAAUAAUUUAUUAUUAUACAGAAUUUAUAUAAUUGAUUAUUAUAGGAGGAUUUAAUUG
rnacentral:rRNA from 1 species